rnacentral:rRNA from 1 species
AGAUUGAACGCUGGCGGCAGGCCUAACACAUGCAAGUCGAGCGGAAACAGAGAGUAACUUGUUACUCUGCUGUCGAGCGGCGGACGGGUGAGUAAUGCUUGGGAAACUGCCCAGUCGAGGGGGACAACCAUUGGAAACGAUGGCUAAUACCGCAUACGCCCUACGGGGGAAAGAAGGGGACUCUUCGGAGCCUUUCGCGAUUGGAUGUGCCCAAGUGGGAUUAGCUAGUUGGUGAGGUAAAGGCUCACCAAGGCAACGAUCCCUAGCUGGUUUGAGAGGAUGAUCAGCCACACUGGAACUGAGACACGGUCCAGACUCCUACGGGAGGCAGCAGUGGGGAAUAUUGCACAAUGGGCGCAAGCCUGAUGCAGCCAUGCCGCGUGUAUGAAGAAGGCCUUCGGGUUGUAAAGUACUUUCAGCGAGGAGGAAAGGUUAGUAGUUAAUAACUGCUAGCUGUGACGUUACUCGCAGAAGAAGGACCGGCUAACUCCGUGCCAGCAGCCGCGGUAAUACGGAGGGUCCGAGCGUUAAUCGGAAUUACUGGGCGUAAAGCGUACGCAGGCGGUUUGUUAAGCGAGAUGUGAAAGCCCCGGGCUCAACCUGGGAACUGCAUUUCGAACUGACAAACUAGAGUUUUGUAGAGGGUGGUAGAAUUUCAGGUGUAGCGGUGAAAUGCGUAGAGAUCUGAAGGAAUACCAGUGGCGAAGGCGGCCACCUGGACAAUAACUGACGCUCAUGUACGAAAGCGUGGGGAGCAAACGGGAUUAGAUACCCCGGUAGUCCACGCCGUAAACGAUGUCAACUAGCCGACUGAAGCCUUGAGCUUUGGGUGGCGCAGCUAACGCAUUAAGUUGACCGCCUGGGGAGUACGGCCGCAAGGUUA